UAUUAUGAGAGUUUGAUCCUGGCUCAGGACGAACGCUGGCGGCGUGCCUAAUACAUGCAAGUCGAACGCUUCUUUCCUCCCGAGUGCUUGCACUCAAUUGGAAAGAGGAGUGGCGGACGGGUGAGUAACACGUGGGUAACCUACCCAUCAGAGGGGGAUAACACUUGGAAACAGGUGCUAAUACCGCAUAACAGUUUAUGCCGCAUGGCAUAAGAGUGAAAGGCGCUUUCGGGUGUCGCUGAUGGAUGGACCCGCGGUGCAUUAGCUAGUUGGUGAGGUAACGGCUCACCAAGGCCACGAUGCAUAGCCGACCUGAGAGGG
rnacentral:rRNA from 1 species